rnacentral:rRNA from 1 species
GAAAUGCGAUACGUAAUGUGAAUUGCAGAAUUCAGUGAAUCAUCGAAUCUUUGAACGCACCUUGCGCCCUUUGGCAUUCCGAAGGGCACACCCGUUUGAGUGUCGUGACAUUCUCAAAACCUUCUUGGUUUCUUGACCGGGAAGGCUUUGGACUUUGGAGGCUUUUGCUGGCAUUCCCUUGUUGAAGCCAGCUCCUCUGAAACGAAUUAGUGGGGUCUGCUUUGCCAAUCCCUGACGUGAUAAGAUAUUUCUACGUCUUGGGUUUCGCAUCCGCAUCCCGCUUCUAACCGUCUCAUUAGAAGACAAUGGCCGAGUGAUUGCCACUCGACCCACGAACCUUGACCUCAAAUCGGGUGAGACUACCCGCUGAACUUAAGCAUAUCAAUAAGCGGAGGAAAAGAAACUAACAAGGAUUCCCCUAGU